rnacentral:misc_RNA from 1 species
GCAAACUUGGUCAUUUAGAGGAAGUAAAAGUCGUAACAAGGUCUCCGUUGGUGAACCAGCGGAGGGAUCAUUCUAGAGUUUUUUUUUAAACUCAAAACCCUUUGUGAACAAGCUAUGUGUUGCUUCGGUAGGUUUAAACCCUGGGGGGUUUAAUUUUAAAAGCCUGCCGAAGGACUCUUUUUAAACUCUUUAUUUUUUAAAGAAUUCUGAGAUUUUUAUAAAAAAGCAAAACUUUCAGCAACGGAUCUCUUGGUUCUGGCAUCGAUGAAGAACGCAGC